rnacentral:rRNA from 1 species
AUUGAACGCUGGCGGCAUGCCUUACACAUGCAAGUCGAACGGUAACAGGUCUUCGGAUGCUGCCGAGUGGCGAACGGGUGCGUAAUACAUCGGAACGUGCCCGAUCGUGGGGUAUAACGAGGCGAAAGCUUUGCUAAUACCGCCUACUAUCUACGGCUGAAAGCGGGGGAUCUUCGGACCUCGCGCGGCCUGAGCCGCCGAUGGCAGAUUAGGUAGUUGGUGGGAUAAAAGCUUACCAAGCCGACGAUCUGUAGCUGGUCUGAGAGGAUGAUCAGCCACACUGGGACUGAGACACGGCCCAGACUCCUACGGGAGGCAGCAGUGGGGAAUUUUGGACAAUGGGCGAAAGCCUGAUCCAGCCAUGCCGCGUGCAGGAUGAAGGCCUUCGGGUUGUAAACUGCUUUUGUACGGAAAGAAAAGCCUCAGGCUAAUAAAGAGGGGUCAUGACGGUACCGUAAGAAUAAGCACCGGCUAACUACGUG